rnacentral:rRNA from 1 species
AUGGAGGAAACGUUUCUGCCUCGUCCCCCGCUCCCAAAAGGGAUCCAUAUUCGAGGUGGGCGGUGCCGAAGUAUGGCAUCCGAAGAGUGGCCCUCAGAAUGGUUUUAUAUUGAAGACGUUGUUCUUCCAGACCCAAUCCGAUGGGGCCUUCCUGAAUUUUCCAAUGCUUCGUUAAAGAAGCGCACCAGUUGGCGCCCCCGAAGCCUCGAGGAAGAAGACAGUGCGGAGAUUAAGAAGCUAAUGAGCAAGAUAAAAAUACUCGCCCAAUCCGGACUAUCUAUAAUUGAGGUAAUGGCGAUUUCAAUAACGCGAGGCGUUCAGCCACUCCAAUCUAGAGGACUCCCCAUGUGGCAUUACAACGGGGAAGAUGACGCAUCAUGCUGCGGGCGCAAGGGUUCGGACAACUUUGCCGCCUUGGCUGCCAUGUUGGCUGAUCUUUACAAAGGGGAGAAAGAAGAUUUUACUUGCCUUAAAUGCCAAGAAGGUCUUUCCAUGUACAACCCUGCUAGCUAG